CAUGUUUUUCGUUAAAAUCUAAGUGAUAUAAAUUUCAUUAGAACAAGUUAAAAUUAAUUUCCAAAUUUGCAAAUUCCUAAAUCCUAAAUUUGUAUCAGUUUCCAUUUUCUCAGCAAAGAACAUCACUUCAGCUACUUAUAAAUAAAUCAUAAAAAAGAACAAAUAAACACACAGUCGGUCUUUUCUGCUGACAUGCAGUCACACUUCUUUCCUGCCUGUUUUCGUUUAUUUUUCACCUUCUCUUUCUGCCCUCUCUGCUCCACACAGACGGCGAUACUUCUCAGUUCUCUGAAGUUUUUCGGUGUAAAUUGAGGUUAUUCCCCUCCCUGCUGUGCUUUUAUAUUGAACAAAGUUGGGAAAAAGUUUCAGUUCAUGGGUGCUGCAGAAAAAAGAUUGGUAAAUAAUGACCACGCUUUCUGCUUGGUUCCCUCUUAUGGCCUGUUCCAACAAUUUAUGUUGUUUUCUGAUGGUCAAAGAUCGAGAGUUAAACUUUUGAAAAGUUUUCAUGUGUUUCACAAGAUUAUUUGGAAAGUGUGACAAAUGAAUUCUGAAGAUAAAAGAUGUUGGAAAAAAUAUCUAAUUAUGAUGAUGAUCUUGAUGAAAGUGGCAUAUAAAAAUAUCCUUUUGUAUAUUUUACCUUUAAUGCAUUUUUAUUAUGUUGUUUUUAUAUUUUAACUUUUUUUUUCUGUCACGUUGAGGGGGGGCUGAAGCCCACCCCUAGAUAAUUUAGAGUGUUUUGAUUUUUUUCAAUGAUUAUUUUUGUUUUAAAAUUAUUUAAUACGUUUUAAAAUAGUUGCAGGAAAUUCAAUAUAAAAAUGCAGAUAUAUUAGUUUAAAUAAAUAGUUUAAACCUGUCAAUACAUGAUGAUAAAUCACAUGGUCACAUUUACUUUACAGUAUUAAGGUAAACGCCAGAGCUUCAUUUUUCAGUCUGACAACAAGGAGAAAAUUAACACGAGGAUACAAAGAAAAUACAAGAACUGCAAAUAAUUUAAAAAAAAAGCAAUAUAAGGCAGAAAUGUUUUUAAAGUUGUCAAAGACACAUUUGCCAUAUUUGUCUCUAAAGAACAUGUUUUAUGAAAUUUUUGUUCAAAUAUCGAUUUGUUUUUUCUAGAAAUUUUUCUUUCUUUUUUGAAGAAUUAGACCUAUUAGGCCUCAAAGGUGACGAUUUUAAGGGUCUGUGUUUGCAAAAAAACAUAAACAAAAAUAGUUUAUCGUUGGCAUUUUAUUUUGAAAACUAACCGGAUGUUUGCGCAUUUGUUUCCGGUAUCAACAAAUAACUAAAUAAAUGAUUAAAAUAAAUACAUUUUUUCUUAAAAGACGAUUCAACAACAUGGAGACUAAAUAGAUGAAUAAAGACGGAACUUUGGAACUUUCGCCAAGAAUUAACUCCUACUUAAAGGGACUUCUGAUGGAUCGUGGCUUCUUCAAUCAUACGUACCUUCGUCACGUCUACCAACUGGACUUCAUCUUCUUGUAGAGUUGGACCAUUUUGUUCUUCGAUUGAUCCAUUGAAAAAGGUUUCCAUCUUCAGAUCCACAGGAGGAGCUGCAGCUGCCAAAAAUACUCAAAUAAUUCCCCUCACUUCUGCAUAAACAGUUAAAGGGCCGCUUCAUGAGGAGCAACAUGAAGAUCUCCACCUGUCUUGACUUGGCCCGUCCUCAACUCUCCUGGAAUCUUCACCGCCUGCCAUCUUUGUCUAAUCUUUUAUUUCCGGAUUUGUUUAUUUAUUUCUGCUGGCGGUGCGCUGCUGCAGCUCGACCCUGUCAGGAUGAGGUAGAGCGGAAAAAGCUGACAAAAGCAGCUCUGAAUGCGUCUGUGAAGUCGGAAUUUAAACAUCUACACUUCCCAGUUGUCAGGGAGGUUGGACAAAUAAAUAAAUAAAAACUUGGAUUAGGGCAGGUGGAAAACAAGAAGGUAAAGAGAACGGUAUAAUAAAACUGUAAAACUAGGUACUUUUGAUCUCAUUGCAAGCAGCAACUAUAUUUUAACUCUGAAGUCAAAGGCUCUUCUUCAGUUUUCUCACUGGAUCUUUUCUCCCCAAAGAAACUUUCCAAAUAUGUAUUUUUGUUUGGAUGACUUAGCCUUCAGUUUUGGUCUUUUAACAUAGCUAGCGUCAGAGCGAGCAGCCGUGUUUUGUCAUGUGGUGAACAAAAUCCGGUAGUUUUUCAAAAUAAAAGCGGAAAGCAUCAAAGUUAGCGUUUGCAUUUGUUUCCCUGACUGUGGCCCGGUACCAAGCAGCCUUUGGUCUGGUUGGGGGUUGAGGACUCCUGAUUUAAAGGGAACAGCCAGCACGUCAAAAAGUGACGCGAACUGUGUCCUAACCAUAUGUCCAUACAUGACAAGUUGGGAGUGAGAAUGUGUUUCAAAAACAGAAAAAUGGAGUAAGUCACUUUUAUACUAACGAAAUAUAAAAUAUAAAGCCACGUCCACAACAGUCUUGGACCAAUGGAAAAGUCUGUUAUCGUGUAUGAAGGCACGUCUAGGUGUUCAGUGUUCAAAAUUCUUGCAUUCACUGACUUCAUGUACAAAA